rnacentral:rRNA from 1 species
UACGUAGGCAGCAAGCGUUGUUCGGAGUUACUGGGCGUAAAGAGUGCGUAGGCGGUCCUGUAAGUUUGGUGUGAAAUCUCCCGGCUCAACUGGGAGGGUGCGCCGAAGACUGCAGGGCUUGGGUAUGGGAGAGGUAAGCGGAAUUCCUGGUGUAGCGGUGAAAUGCGUAGAUAUCAGGAGGAACACCUGCGGUGUAGACGGCUUACUGGACCAUAACUGACGCUGAGGCACGAAAGCGUGGGUAGCAAACAGG